UACGGGGGGGGCAAGCGUUGUUCGGAAUUACUGGGCGUAAAGGGCUCGUAGGUGGCCAACUAAGUCAGACGUGAAAUCCCUCGGCUUAACCGGGGAACUGCGUCUGAUACUGGAUGGCUUGAGUUCGGGAGAGGGAUGCGGAAUUCCAGGUGUAGCGGUGAAAUGCGUAGAUAUCUGGAGGAACACCGGUGGCGAAGGCGGCAUCCUGGACCGACACUGACGCUGAGGAGCGGAAAAGCCAGG
rnacentral:rRNA from 1 species